ensembl:lncRNA
CUUUCAGGUAGGGGGAGUGACCUUUGUGAAAUAUGAAGGAGGGGGAGAUGAGGGUAUAGGCAGUGAUAGCUGGAGGCAAAGAAGUCAGGCGAUGAGGUCAGGUGGUGGAGACACUGGGUGUUGACUGAGGAGAUAACUGGUAUCUGCUCGAGCUGAGGCAUCCCUUGAAUGUUAUACUCCUGUGCCGUAAAUUCAUGGGAGAGGCUUUAUCCAACAAUCUUAAGAUUUAUGGCAGUCAUCUUCGGGGUGAGUCUCUGUGGCCAAACAGCCCAGAGUCACUUUGAACCAUGCAGUCAAAAAGCGGCUAGGCCCAAAUCCAAUAUGGCUCCGUGCAUUCCCCAACUGUCUUAGGGUUUUACUGCUGUGAACACACGCCAUGAGCAAGGCAAGUCUUCUAAGGAUGACAUUUAAUUGGGGCUGGCUUACAGAUUCAGAGGUUCAGUUCAUUAUCAUCAAGGUGGGAGUAUGGCAGCAUCCAGGCAGGCAUGGUGCAGGAGGAGCUGAAAGUUCUACAUCUUCAUCUGAAGGCUGCUCACAGAGUACUGACUUCCAGGAAGCUAGGAUGUGGGUUUUAAAGCCCACACCCACAAAGCCAUGCCUACUCCAACAGGGCCACACCUUCUAAUAGUGCCCCUCCCUGGGCCAAGCAUAUACAAACCAUAACACCAACACAUUCUGAAGCUGCCUCUCUGUAGGUGCAUCUAGGAAGGCCACGUGCAGAAAACAGGUGGCUGCUUACAAGCCAGGAAAACCCCUGCCAGAGAACCGAACCUGCAUGCACCUGCAUGUUUGACCUCCUGAGCUCCGGAAUUGAGAAAUGUGUCUAUUCAGUCCGGUGUUUGUUGUAGCAGCCCAAACUAAGACCCAUAGUCUCCCAAGAUGGGAGUAGGCUAGCCAGUUGCUCCUUGCAAAAAAGCUUUGAGGAAGCUGUCAAAAAAGCUAGCCAAUCUCACUACCUGAAGGGAGAUCUGACUCAUGUAUUACCAGCUGGGCUAUAGAGUGAGACAUUGUCUUUUUUAAAAAGUUAAGAAAUGCCAUGAAAAAUUCCCAGACAUGUCCAUGUAGCUUCCCCCCAGGCAGCACCCCUCCUGUAUCAUCACAGGGUCCUGGGUGCUACUGCCUUUGCUCUUGGGACAGCACAGUGGAAUUUUGUUAUUCAUUUGUUGCUUUGACCAGCCUAAGUGUUGUUUUGUUUUGGUUGGUCGGUUUUUUGUUUGUUUGUUUGUUUGCUUGCUUGCUUGCUUUUGGUUUUGUUUUGUUUUGUUUUUUGAGUCAGGGUCUGUGCAGCCCAGGCUGGCCAGGGACUCAUUAUAUAGCCCAGGCUGGCUUCAUAUAAUCCUUUGGCAAAGGGUCCAGAUUGGGAAUACCGGCAUAAAGGACGCCUAGUGCCCCCUGAGCUUCUUGAGGAUAGGAAUUGCGCAUCUGCAUUUCUGAAGUCCUGGUGCUGAAUAUUCUCCCAACAGCUGCAUGUGGGGUAAGUACUACACUAGUCGUUUGCUUUUGUUCCUUUUUGAGCUAGGGCUCGCUGUGUACCUCUGGCUCACCUGGAACUGGCCAUAGAGGCCACGCUGGCGUCAGAUUUGCUUCUGCUUGUCAGCACUCCCAGCUGCAAUGCUGUUAAAGAUGUUGGAUGCAGCGGGAUGCAUUAGCCUGCUUCACGUUGGCACUCCAAUGUGCAGUCAGGAGUUUCAGGACUUCUAGGUCAUCCACGGCAACAUUCCGGCCUGUCUGUGUUACGUGAGACACCACC